AUUCCAGCUCCAAUAGCGUAUAUUAAUGUUGUUGCAGUUAAAAAGCUCGUAGUUGGAUUUCUGGUGGGAGCGGCCGGUCCGCCGUAAGGUGUGUACUUGGUUGUCUCCUGUCAUCCUUGUGGGAACUGCUCUGGCAUUAAGUUGUCGGGGUUAGGGAACACAUCGUUUACUGUGAAAAAAUUAGAGUGUUUAAAGCAGGCUUAUGCCGUUGAAUACAUUAGCAUGGAAUAAUAAGAUAGGACUUUGGCGUCUAUUUUGUUGGUUUGCACACCAAGGUAAUGAUUAAUAGGGAUAGUUGGGGGUAUUCGUAUUCCGUUGUCAGAGGUGAAAUUCUUGGAUUUACGGAAGACGAACGACUGCGAAAGCAUUUACCAAGGAUGUUCUCAUUA
rnacentral:rRNA from 1 species